GCGGCGGGCUCCAGACUAUAUUAAGACGGGUAUGAUGACCUCUGGGAUGAUUGGAGUCUGGAGCUUUGGGAUACCCGUCGGUCGUGGGUUCAAAUCCCACCGGCCCCA
rnacentral:tRNA from 1 species